rnacentral:rRNA from 1 species
CAGUAGCCACGGUAAUACGUAGGUGGCAAGCGUUGUCCGGAAUUAUUGGGCGUAAAGGGCUCGCAGGCGGUUUCUUAAGUCCGAUGUGAAAGCCCCCGGCUCAACCGGGGAGGGUCAUUGGAAACUGGGAAACUUGAGUACAGAAGAGGAGAGUGGAAUUCCACGUGUAGCGGUGAAAUGCGUAGAGACGUGAGGAACACCAGUGGCGAAGGCGACUCUCUGGUCUGUAACUGACGCUGAGGAGCGAAAGCGUGGGGAGCGAACAGGAUUAGAUACCCCAGUAGUCCCUGUCUCUUAUACA